UACGAAGGGUGCAAGCGUUACUCGGAAUUACUGGGCGUAAAGCGUGCGUAGGUGGUGAGUUAAGUCUGUCGUGAAAGCCCCGGGCUCAACCUGGGAAUGGCGAUGGAUACUGGCUCGCUAGAGUGCGGUAGAGGAGGGUGGAAUUCCCGGUGUAGCAGUGAAAUGCGCAGAUAUCAGGAAGAACACCCGUGGCGAAGGCGGCUCUCUGGGACGGUACUGACGCUGAGACGCGAAAGCGUGGGGAGCGAACAGG
rnacentral:rRNA from 1 species